GACGAACGCUGGCGGCGUGCCUAAUACAUGCAAGUGGAACGCUGAAGCGAGGAGCUUACUCUUCUUGGAUGAGUUGCGAACGGGUGAGUAACGCGUAGGUAACCUGCCUUGUAGCGGGGGAUAACUAUUGGAAACGAUAGCUAAUACCGCAUAACAAUGGAUGACACAUGUCAUUUAUUUGAAAGGGGCAAUUGCUCCACUACAAGAUGGACCUGCGUUGUAUUAGCUAGUAGGUGAGGUAAUGGCUCACCUAGGCGACGAUACAUAGCCGACCUGAGAGGGUGAUCGGCCACACUGGGACUGAGACACGGCCCAGACUCCUACGGGAGGCAGCAGUAGGGAAUCUUCGGCAAUGGGGGCAACCCUGACCGAGCAACGCCGCGUGAGUGAAGAAGGGUUUCGGAUCGUAAAGCUCUGUUGUAAGUCAAGAACGGGUGUGAGAGUGGAAAGUUCACACUGUGACGGUAGCUUACCAGAAAGGGACGGCUAACUACGUG
rnacentral:rRNA from 1 species